rnacentral:rRNA from 1 species
CCCUUAGAUGUUCUGGGCCGCACGCGCGCUACACUGAUACAUGCAACGAGUUUAUAACCUUGAUCUGACGGUCUGGGUAAUCUUCAAACUGUAUCGUGCUAGGGAUCGAUUCUUGCAAUUUUUAAUCGUAAACGAGGAAUUCCUAGUAAACGCAAGUCAUCAGCUUGCAUUGAUUACGUCCCUGCCCUUUGUACACACCGCCCGUCGACUCUACCGAUUGAAUGGUUCGGUGAAAACUUUGGACUGUGGCAUUGUCCUUCAUUGGACUUCGCCGUAGGAAAUUGUUUAAACCUCAUCAUUUAGAGGAAGAAUAAGUCGUAACA